rnacentral:rRNA from 1 species
UACGUAGGGUGCAAGCGUUGUCCGGAAUUAUUGGGCGUAAAGAGCUCGUAGGCGGUUUGUCGCGUCUGCUGUGAAAACCCGAGGCUCAACCUCGGGCCUGCAGUGGGUACGGGCAGACUAGAGGUGCGGUAGGGGAGAUUGGAAUUCCUGGUGUAGCGGUGGAAUGCGCAGAUAUCAGGAGGAACACCGAUGGCGAAGGCAGGUCUCUGGGCAUUAACUGACGCUGAGGAGCGAAAGCAUGGGGAGCGAACAGG